rnacentral:rRNA from 1 species
CAGUCGCCACGGGAAUACGAAGGGGGCUAGCGUUGUUCGGAUUUACUGGGCGUAAAGGGCGCGUAGGCAGACUGAUAAGUCAGGGGUGAAAUCCCAAGGCUCAACCUUGGAACUGCCUUUGAUACUGUUUGUCUUGAGUUCGAGAGAGGUAAGUGGAACUGCGAGUGUAGAGGUGAAAUUCGUAGAUAUUCGCAAGAACACCAGUGGCGAGGGCGACACACUGGCCCAUUACUGACGCUGAGGCUCGAAAGCGUGGGGAGCAAACAGGAUUAGAUACCCCCGUAGUCCCUGUCUCUUAUAA